UUUAAUAAAGACAAUAUGUAGGUCUGCUGCUUUAAGGACAAUAUGUAGGUCUGCUGUUUUAAUAAAGACAAUAUGUAGGUCUGCUGCUUUAAGGACAAUAUGUAGGUCUGCUGCUUUAAUAAGGACAAUAUGUAGGUCUGCUGCUUUAAGGACAAUAUGUAGGUCUGCUGCUUUAAGGACAAUAUGUAGGUCUGCUGCUUUAAGGACAAUAUGUAGGUCUGCUGCUUUAAGGACAAUAUGUAGGUCUGCUGCUUUAAGGACAAUAUGUAGGUCUGCUGUUUUAGUAAGGACAAUAUGUAGGUCUGCUGCUUUAAGGACAAUAUGAAGGUCUGCUGUUUUAAUAAGGACAAUAUGUAGGUCUGCUGUUUUAAAAGACAAUAUGUAGGUCUGCUGCUUUAAGGACAAUAUGUAGGUCUGCUGCUUUAAGGACAAUAUGUAGGUCUGCUGUUUUAAUAAAGACAAUAUGUAGGUCUGCUGCUUUAAGGACAAUAUGUAGGUCUGCUGCUUUAAGGACAAUAUGUAGGUCUGCUGCUUUAAGGACAAUAUGUAGGUCUGCUGCUUUAAGGACAAUAUGUAGGUCUGCUGCUUUAAGGACAAUAUGUAGGUCUGCUGUUUUAAUAAGGACAAUAUGUAGGUCUGCUGCUUUAAGG